rnacentral:lncRNA from 1 species
CAGAGACAGGGUCUCACUCUGUUACCCAGUCUGGAGUACAAUGGCACCACUAUAGCCCACUGCAGCCUCAAACUUCUGGGAUCAAGCAAUCUUCCCACUUCAGCAUCCCAAGAAUGUCUCAUUAAAUGACAUCAAAGCCUGAUUCUGCAAUUAAAAAAGCGUUUAUAUUAACUGGAUUUUGAAAAGAGAAAAGAACAAUAAAACCACCCCCCAAUUCUUCAAACAACAAAAGAGGAAACACAGCAACCCCCUUCCCCAAAUUUUGGCAUUUGUUCACCUCUUUUAACCCUUGCUUUUUUGUAAAAUAACUUAUGGAGAAAUUGUUGUGAGCAAAAGGUCUUAAUUGCAAAAAAAAAAAAAAAUCCUUUUAGGAGUGUUUAAAAUAAAAUGACAGAGUAUAUUUAUGGAGCCUGGACAAUGCAUCCUUUUCUCAUAUUUUCCAGUUUUGUAAUGCCUAAGUACUCGUCUAGAAUCUGAAUUUAGUAAUGCCAAUAUUGGACUCUUUCACAUACAUUCUAUAGAGUUAUUAGUAAACUCAUGACAACCAACUAACCAACCAGGCAAACAAAAACAUAUUUAGAAACCCAAGCUGUAAGGCACAGCUCAUGCACACACACACAAAAUUUCAUCCCAAAAUAUGUAUGAACUUUGAGGGAACAAUCAGCACUCUAAAGCAGCCGAACCCCCUGCACAGUUAGGAAUGAGCGGGCUUCUGGCAGUGUCUUUUAAAAAGGCACAGAGAUUUGCGUAUAGACAUAUUUCUAGUGCAUCAAUGACAGGUGGCUCUUCCCCAUCUAAGCAGGAUGGAUGGAGGGAGUUAGGUACAAUGGCUUAUAAUUUUCAAAUACUGUAAUUUUUUUUGUAAAGAUGGAAACCAUUAUUUUUUAAAAGCAUGUGGUUUCAAUAGUGCAUAUUUGAUUUAUGACUAAGAAUUCUUUUUCUCCAUGCCAUAUUAGUACCCUCACUUAAUUAAAUAGUUUUCUUUUUUGAAACUUAGAUUGGACAGAAAUCUGUUUUACCAAGGUAGUGAAUAUGGCUUUGUCAAAAUCUCUGUGUGUUUGUGUGUGUGUAUGUUGAAAUAAGUGCAGAAUUGAGAUAAUGAUGUGGAC